UACGGAGGGUGCGAGCGUUGUCCGGAAUCAUUGGGCGUAAAGGGCGCGUAGGUGGCCCGGUCAGUUCGUGGUGAAAGCGCGGGGCUCAACCCUGCGUCGGCCAUGAAUACUGCCGCGGCUGGAGCACUGUAGAGGCAGGCCGGAAUUCCGGGUGUAGCGGUGGAAUGCGUAGAGAUCCGGAAGAACACCGGUGGCGAAGGCGGCCUGCUGGGCAGUUGCUGGACACUGAGGCGCGACAGCGUGGGGAGCAAACAGGG
rnacentral:rRNA from 1 species